CACAACCAUCUGUAAUGAGGUCUGGUGCCCUCUUCUGGCCUGCAGACAUACACACAGGCAGAAUAUUGUAUACAUAAUGAAUAAAUAAAUAUUUAAAAAAAAAAAAGACCAUAAACCAUAGGAUUUGGUCCAGGAGUACCAGGAUUCUAGGCGUCUUGAUUCUACAGUGUAAUCCCUCACUACGUUGUCAGUCAGCAGCCACAGCUUAAAAGGGAAUUAAAGGAAACCAUUUCCAUGUGACCAGUAAAGCAUGAGAGAAGUCCAUCCUGUUGUGAUCGUGAAGGUGCCUGUCACCGGUUAAGUCUGUCAGAGGUGGAGGCUUUUAAAGAACCAGUAAAAUGAUAAGCCGGACAUAUGCGAUGCUGCUGAAGGAGGUAUAAGGAACAACAACCUGGAGGUUCCUGGCCUUUCCUGCAGAAGAGGCCUGGACAGUGGAGAAGGGCUUGGAGCCAGCAUGUGGUGCAGUCAGCAGAUAGAAUCCCUGGGCUCAUGGUCCAGUAUAAGAAAAAUAAAGAGACUGGAGAGAUGGCUUACUGGUCACAAGCACUGGCUGCUUUUCCUGAAGACCGAGUUCAAUUCCCAACACCCAUGUGGCAGCUGUAACUCCAGUUCCAGGAGACCCAGCUCCUUCUUCUGGCCAAACAUGG